CGAGUCAUUGUAGCAUACAAGGCAUACGGCUCAGUAACGCGUAGUCCACCUAACCUAUGGACGGGAAUAACCUCGGGAAACUGAGAAUAAUGCCCGAUAGAACAUUAUGCCUGGAAUGGUUUAUGUUCCAAAUGAUUUAUCGCCGUAGGAUGGGACUGCGGCCUAUCAGUUUGUUGGUGAGGUAAUGGCCCACCAAGACUAUUACAGGUACGGGCUCUGAGAGGAGUAGCCCGGAGAUGGGUACUGAGACACGGACCCAGGCCCUAUGGGGCGCAGCAGGCGAGAAAACUUUGCAAUGUGCGAAAGCACGACAAGGUUAAUCCGAGUGGUUUCUGCUAAAGAAACCUUUUGUCAGUCCUAGAAACACUGAUGAAUAAGGGGUGGGCAAGUUCUGGUGUCAGCCGCCGCGGUAAAACCAGCACCUCAAGUGGUCAGGAUGAUUAUUGGGCCUAAAGCAUCCGUAGCCGGCUCUGUAAGUUUUCGGUUAAAUCUGUACGCUCAACGUACAGGCUGCCGGGAAUACUGCAGAGCUAGGGAGUGGGAGAGGUAGACGGUACUCGGUAGGAAGGGGUAAAAUCCUUUGAUCUAUUGAUGACCACCUGUGGCGAAGGCGGUCUACCAGAACACGUCCGACGGUGAGGGAUGAAAGCUGGGGGAGCAAACCGGAUUAGAUACCCGGGUAGUCCCAGCUGUAAACUAUGCAAACUCAGUGAUGCAUUGGCUUGUGGCCAAUGCAGUGCUGCAGGGAAGCCGUUAAGUUUGCCGCCUGGGAAGUACGUACGCAAGUAUGAAACUCAAAGGGAUUGACGGAAUC
rnacentral:rRNA from 1 species